rnacentral:rRNA from 1 species
ACGAACGCUGGCGGCGUGCUUAACACAUGCAAGUCGAACGGAAGGGCCCUGCUUUUGUGGGGUGCUCGAGUGGCGAACGGGUGAGUAACACGUGAGUAACCUGCCCUUGACUUUGGGAUAACUUCAGGAAACUGGGGCUAAUACCGGAUAGGAGCUCCUGCUGCAUGGUGGGGGUUGGAAAGUUUCGGCGGUUGGGGAUGGACUCGCGGCUUAUCAGCUUGUUGGUGGGGUAGUGGCUUACCAAGGCUUUGACGGGUAGCCGGCCUGCGAGGGUGACCGGCCACAUUGGGACUGAGAUACGGCCCAGACUCCUACGGGAGGCAGCAGUGGGGAAUAUUGCACAAUGGGCGGAAGCCUGAUGCAGCAACGCCGCGUGCGGGAUGACGGCCUUCGGGUUGUAAACCGCUUUCGCCUGUGACGAAGCGUGAGUGACGGUAAUGGGUAAAGAAGCACCGGCUAACUACGUG